rnacentral:rRNA from 1 species
AAAAUAAGUAGGGAAGCACGUGAGCUGACUGUCAAGAAAAGCCGCUAUUGUUUGCAGGAUACCCGUACCGUAAACCGACACAGGUGGAUGAGGAGAGAAUCCUAAGGCCGACGGGAGAAGCAUUGUUAAGGAACUCGGCAAAAUGACUCCGUAACUUCGGGAGAAGGAGUGCCAGUAAGAUGGCCGCAGAGAAUUGGCCCAAGCAACUGUUUAGCAAAAACACAGGUCUAUGCAAAACCGAAAGGUGAGGUAUAUGGGCUGACGCCUGCCCGGUGCUGGAAGGUUAAGGGGAGAGGUUAGCGCAAGCGAAGCUUUGAACUUAAGCCCCAGUAAACGGCGGCCGUAACGAUAACGGUCCUAAGGUAGCGAAAUUCCUUGUCGGGUAAGUUCCGACCCGCACGAAAGGCGUAAUGAUUUGGGCACUGUCUCAACAAUGCACCCGGUGAAAUUGAAAUACCAGUGAAGAUGCUGGUUACCUGCGCCAGGACGGAAAGACCCCAUGGAGCUUUACUCCAGCUUGAUACUGGGAUUCGGUAUUGCAUGUACAGGAUAGGUGGGAGGCUAGGAAAUGGUAACGCCAGUUGCCAUGGAGCCAAUGUUGGGAUACCACCCUUGCAGUACUGGGUUUCUAACCAGCAGCCGUGAUCCGGCUGGGGGACAAUGUCAGGUGGGGAGUUUGACUGGGGCGGUCGCCUCCGAAAGGGUAUCGGAGGCGCUCAAAGGUUCCCUCAGAAUGGUUGGAAACCAUUCGAAGAGUGCAAAGGCAGAAGGGAGCUUGACUGCGACACCGACGGGUGGAGCAGGUACGAAAGUAGGACUUAGUGAUCCGGUGGUAUAAAGUGGGAUUGCCAUCGCUCAACGGAUAAAAGCUACCCUGGGAUAACAGGCUUAUCACUCCCAAGAGUUCACAUCGACGGAGUGGUUUGGCACCUCGAUGUCGGCUCAUCGCAUCCUGGGGCUGAAGUAGGUCCCAAGGGUUGGGCUGUUCGCCCAUUAAAGCGGUACGCGAGCUGGGUUCAGAACGUCGUGAGACAGUUCGGUCCCUAUCCGGCGUGGGCGUAAGAUAUUUGAGAGGAGCUGUCCUUAGUACGAGAGGACCGGGAUGGACUGGCCGCUGGUGUAUCUGUUGUCUUACCAAAGGCAUAGCAGAGUAGCCAAGCCGGGAAGGGAUAAACGCUGAAGGCAUCUAAGCGUGAAGCCCCCCUCAAGAUGAGAUAUCUCAUAACGUCAAGUUAGUAAGACCCCUUGAAGACGACGAGGUAGAUAGGGCAGAGGUGGAAGUGUGGUAACACAUGGAGCUGACUGUUACUAAUAGGUCGAGGGCAUAAUC